rnacentral:rRNA from 1 species
GACGAACCGUGCGAACGUUGUUCGGAAUCACUGGGCUUAAAGGGUGCGUAGGCGGGCGAUCAAGUCAGGGGUGAAAUCCUCCAGCUUAACUGGAGAACUGCCUUUGAUACUGGUCAUCUUGAGUGAGGUAGGGGCGUGCGGAACUGAUGGUGGAGCGGUGAAAUGUGUUGAUAUCAUCAGGAACUCCGGUGGCGAAAGCGGCGCGCUGGACCUUUACUGACGCUGAGGCACGAAAGCCAGGGGAGCAAACGGG